rnacentral:rRNA from 1 species
UACGUAGGGUGCAAGCGUUAAUCGGAAUUACUGGGGCGUAAAGCGUGCGCAGGCGGUUUUUGUAAGUCUGUCGUGAAAUCCCCCGGGCUCAACCUGGGAAUUGCGAUGGAGACUGCAAGGCUAGAAUCUGGCAGAGGGGGGGUAGAAUUCCACGUGUAGCAGUGAAAUGCGUAGAGAUGUGGAGGAACACCGAUGGCGAAGGCAGCCCCCUGGGUCAAGAUUGACGCUCAUGCACGAAAGCGUGGGGAGCAAACAGG